UUAUUUUUUUUUUAUUUUUUUUUUAUUUUUUUGGAUCAAACAUCCCCUUUAUUUCUGGCACAAUCACCUUGAAUUGAAUUGUCCCUGCGCAAGGAUGGCAGGCACCUUGAAUUAAAAACUGAAAAUCUAGAACCUCUUCUUCUCCAUUGUUUGCUUACGAUCUCUCAUCACCCAAGCAUAGGAUUGGUCAAAUGAAAAAUUAUCCUGUGUGGUUUAGGUCUAGUCCUAUGGAUGAGGAAUUGAUAAACUUUUAUCUGAAGAACAAAAUUAUGGGUAAUAGUUGGCUCCUUGACGAUUCGAUCAGCGAGAUCAACAUCUAUAACUACGAACCAGCGUUUCUGCCUGAUCGAAUCGAAUGAUCUUGUGUGGUACUUCUUCUCUCCAUAUGAAUCCACGAAGAAGAGGCCAAGGAAGACUACACGUUCUGGGUUUUGGAAAGUUACUGGUGUUGAUUGGAAAAUCAAGGAUAAGGGUGAGACUCUUCAUCUUGCUCCUCCUGUAACCUCUCUCUUCCGCCAUCACUCAUCACUGUGCAACACAGGUCUCGCCGAACUUUAUACCGUCCAAUCCUCCUCCCCCUCUCGGUCGUCACUCCUCACUUCCUCGCCUCGCCGUCAGAUCUGCCGUCACAUCCGUUCGAUCAUUUAAUCCUUUUCCAAGUCUUAGAAACACCAAAGUCUUUCUCUUUGCUCUGUUCUUGGCUAAAGUUUGUUUUUUUCCCUGUUCUUGUUUCACCUCUAUGCUCUAUGUUACAAUUUAAAGUCUUUACUUGCCUAUAGACUAUAGUUUAUGUAUUUACUCCGUUUCUUCUCUGUUUUGGUCAUGAAGAACACUUGACUAAAGUUUUUGUCUUGACUAAAGUAUGGUGCUUUGAUUGUUGGAACCAUGAUGAAUGCAUUUUUGGGGGUUGAUACACUUAAGCGAUGAAGAGAGUUGUUGUCUGCUCUAAUAAAUUGAUUCUGUUUGAUACUCAAGAUAAUAUAUUGAUAUGGUAUCAGUUGAACUCCAGAAGCAAAGCUAUUGUGACCAAAGGUUUGGCUUUUAAAAACUUUUAGUUGUAGGGGAAGUUCAGAGCUUGAGAUGUCUCGUUUUCGAAAAUUGAUUUGUGGUUCUUGUUGUCUCUGUGCGUUUUCAAUCAUUAUAGGACUUACACUUCGAAAUCGAUUAUGGGUUAAGUCUCUGACUGUUAUUCAUGUCUGUUGCAGAUGAGUGAAUCCAUCUUAAAGGCUGCUAGGUAUUGAUUCAGUAGGAAUGGUGUAGAGCCUGUUGGUUCCUAUAUACACACGAUCACACUGAAGAUUAUGUUAAGGAGAGGUGGCAAUGAAGAGUAUGCUUGGAAUAAGUUUACUGGCUUAUUAUUUAUCAGAUCUCUGUAUCAAACUACCGUUAUAAUCAUGUCAAAUAUAUAUUUGCUGGUUUUAGUCGAUUUGGUUUUGAUUUUAUUACCAUUGUUUAUGUGUUGCUCUAUUCGUAAAACUACACUGCAAAAAUGCCAUAAUUUUUAUGAAAA